CGCACAUUGCGCCCGCCGGCACUCCGGCGGGCAUGCCUGUCCGAGCGUCAUUGCACCCCUCAGGCCCUGCCUGGCGUUGGGAGACUGCUACUGCAGCUCCCCAAAGACAACGGCGGCGGGCGUCCCCGGACCGAGCGUAGUAAUACACCUCGUUCUGGCCGGGACGCCUCUCCGGCCGCAAAACCCCAACUCUUCAGUAGUUGACCUCGGAUCAGGUAGGAAUACCCGCUGAACUUAA
rnacentral:misc_RNA from 1 species